AUCAUAUUAAAAAUAAUAUUGAACAAUCAAAUAAACAAUUAUAUGGAUACUAAUGAUUAUAAAAUGAUUAUGAUGAUUAUGUAUAAAACACAAUAAUAAAAACAUUCUGCACGUGAGGAUCUAAGGUAGGAUUCUUUCAAUAUGAAGACUCAUGAUAUGUCAUUACCAUACUGUAAAAAAUUCUUUGCUGCUUUUUUUGUUAAAUCAAUAAUAGGUCAUUUUAACCUAUUAUUGUUCUUGACUAGAGAUGAGUUGUUAUAACUACAGAUGAGUUGUUAUAACUUAAAAUAUAAUUGAAAAAAGUCAACUUCAUUUUAUAAGUUGUAACAACUCAUCUCUUGUCAAGAUAAAUAAAGGUAAGUUGACAUAACUUGUAAACUUGAGAUGAUUCAACAAAAAAUGUAAGACAGCGGAGAUUCUUCCAGUGUAUGUACAGAACUCUUACUAUUCAUCUAUGUUUAGGUAAAUACAGUGUUUUUAUUCUAUUGCACGCACCUUUAAUUACUUUUUUCUCAUUCCUUACAUUCAUGUGCCUUAAAGUCAAUAAGUAAUUUUUUAUCUAGAUUUUUAUAUGAUAUACAGAUGAUAUACUUCUGAUAUAUAUUUUGAAGCACUUAUCCCUUGUUUUGUCAUUUGUCAGUGUAUAAGCGGCAGUACAGUAGAUAAAUGAGCACAUGUUUCGAUUUCUAAACAUUUUACAAAUAAUGAACUGCGCUAAACUACGACUGCUAUGGGCUUUAAUGAGAUACAGCAUCCUUCAACAUUUUAUUUUGGUUGACUUUAUUGCUUGUGUUUAGAUAUUUAUAUACCAGUGGGAAGCCAGGUGGAGACUCAUUGAAAUACUUCCAGACACAUAUCUAAAGGGAUGCUUUUAAGCCGUGCCAUCAUCUGGUGAUUUGUCUAGGGAGACCAAAAGCUUGUGUGUUGCUUCCAGUAGAUUUCUCACAGCAUGGUUAAAUUCAAUCUAUACAUGAUCAUUACAUGUGUCUGAUUCACAAAGAGUAACAGCAAAUUUACAUGAAUCUAUUACUAAGAUCAUUUGAAGUUAAAACAUUUGAUAGUUUGAAUAUAAAGCAAUUCGAUUUGUCCGCACAUCAAUAGUUGAAUCUCAUUGGUUCUCCUUUUUUUUUGGAAAAAGUAUAGGAAAGAAAAGAGUAGGGUUAAUAGAAAUAAGUGCUAGUAUUACUGGGUCAGAAGACGAAAAAGACGUGAUUCUUAAAGACACAACAUCUCAGUGGCUAAAUCAGCUCAAAAUAUUAAAGGUUUUUGUCACAGGUGAUGUUUUGAACCAACGACGGGCGGAACCCGUCUUCCACAUCCUUGGUUGAACCGACGACGGGCGGAACCCGUCUUCCACAUUUCAUUUCCGGGGUUUCCCCAAAGUCAAAAUUAAGCCUGAUUGCGCGCAGACGGACCACGCUGGUCGGAUCGCUCUCCUGGGGAAGAGAGGAAGAGACAAUCAGCUGACGAAGGAAUAUUGUGGAGUUUCAGUGAGAAAGAGUGGACACAGAGCCAUCAAGAGCGCAGUGAACAGAGGUUAUUGGCAACAAAGCGUGAGUAACCGCUGUGGUACUUAUCUGUACAUAACUUGUAUGAAGAGUUGUCCUGGUGUGUGCUUUUUGUGUUUCUUGAGGUCCCUGGCCCCACUGGAGAGGAAAGCGUGGGUGAGCCGCGGGUUGACCGGAAGCACGGACGAAGCACCGUUCACCAGUAAGCCAGUGGCCCUGUGGGAAAAAAGGAAGUGCAGGUGAGCCAGGGGAGUGAUAACCAACACGCCGGGCCUGUGAAUAUCACACAUCUCUCCCUCAUUUGUGAUCCAGUUGUUGCCCAACCAUCCUCUCGAGGUCGUCGUAGUCAGGUGGCAAGGACGAUCUAAAAUUCACGUGAAAUUGUAUAAGAGUGCUGUGGGUGAGUUUCACUGAUUGAUGGUGUUUACGCUUUACUUGCUGUGUGUAUGCUGUGCUUGUAGCGUUCAAACUGCCGAGCCUCCGACGAGUCACGAGAUGACGACAUCCGUUGUGGCCUGAGUCCUACAGAGAGAGAGAAAACCAAGCCCGGUGCCCGGGGUGUGACAACGAGAGCUUCGUUUGUACACAGAACAGACAGUGGUAAAACACAGUGAGUAGUAUCAAGUGUGUACCGUGCGGAUUGUGGGUCGUAACGGUGUGUGUACUGACCUCUUCAACAGAAGCUUGUGGUGAACGGAGCCCCGACGAAAGUUCGCCCCAGCUUGUGACCCCGGUCGUGGAAGAAGGAGGGGGAGUUUGGGAAGCGUUCGGCUCCGGUCAUCGGACCCACUAGUCCCUACGACGCCCGGACAGCCAAACUGGAGGGGCGAAGGAAUACGGUACACUGACACUGUAGCGAAAUCCACUGUAUAUAGCAACUACCUACCUGAACCAGUGAAGCUCUGUGUGGGAACGAGGAUCCCCCGGCACUGUGAGUAACGCAACCUGUGAAAUAAACCUGUUCUGUGCUUAUAGCAACUACCUACUUGCACCAGUGAAGCUUUGUGUGGGAACGAGGAUCCCCCGGCACUGUGAGUAACGCAACCUGUGGAAUAAAUCUGUUCUGUGCUUAUAGCAACUACCUACUUGCACCAGUGAAGCUUUGUGUGGGAACGAGGAUCCCCCGGCACUGUGAGUAACGCAACCUGUGGAAUAAAUCUGUUCUGUGCUUAUAGCAACUACCUACUUGCACCAGUGAAGCUUUGUGUGGGAACGAGGAUCCCCCGGCACUGUGAGUAACGCAACCUGUGAAAUAAAUAUGUCCUGUGCUUAUAGCAACUACCUACCUGCACCAGUGAAGCUUUGUGUGGGAACGAGGAUCCCCCGGCACUGUGAGUAACGCGACCUGUGAAGUAACCCUGUUCUGUGCUUAUAGCAACUACCUACCUGCACCAGUGAAGCUUUGUGUGGGAACGAGGAUCCCCCGGCACUGUGAGUAAUGCAACCUGUGAAAUAAACCUGUGCUGUGCUUAUAGCAACUACCUACCUGAACCAGCGAAGCUCUGUGUGGGAACGAGGAUCCCCCGGCAUUGUGAGUAACGCCACCUGUGAACUAAACCUGUACUGUGCUUAUAGCAACUACCUACCUGAACCAGUGAAGCUCUGUGUGGGAACGAGGAUCCCCCGGCACUGUGAGUAAUGCAACCUGUGAAAUAAACCUGUGCUGUGCUUAUAGCAACUACCUACCUGAACCAGCGAAGCUCUGUGUGGGAACGAGGAUCCCCCGGCAUUGUGAGUAACGCCACCUGUGAACUAAACCUGUACUGUGCUUAUAGCAACUACCUACCUGAACCAGUGAAGCUCUGUGUGGGAACGAGGAUCCCCCGGCACUGUGAGUAAUGCAACCUGUGAAAUAAACCUGUGCUGUGCUUAUAGCAACUACCUACCUGAACCAGCGAAGCUCUGUGUGGGAACGAGGAUCCCCCGGCAUUGUGAGUAACGCCACCUGUGAACUAAACCUGUACUGUGCUUAUAGCAACUACCUACCUGAACCAGUGAAGCUCUGUGUGGGAACGAGGAUCCCCCGGCACUGUGAGUAACGCAACCUGUGGGAUAAACCUGUGCUGUGCUUAAGGCAACUACCUACCUGCAUCAGUGAAGCUCUGUAUGGGAACGAGGAUCCCCCAGUACUGUGAGUAGCAAAGGAGUACUUACCCUGGUCUGAUUGUGUUUGAUUCUGCCUCCAGGAGAAGCGGAGCGUGCCACGGAUUGCUGGGCCAGAGCCCCGGUCCCCAGUCUUUUCCCCAAGUGGCCCUGGAGGCAAAGAAGAGCCAUAUUAGUUUUAAAUUUCCCUUUUUCCCUUCCCCCUUUUCCCUUUUUAAAUAUUUAAUAAAGUUUGUUUUAAUUAUA